ACCCAAUUAGGAAUUAGCUAAGCAUAAGUCCUGAUCAAAUCAGGAUCAAAUUUUUUUUGCAAUUUGGGUUGAUCAAAUCAAACCCAAUCUAUGUCAAACUAAAUCCAAUUCAAUUAGAUUUGAUCCAAAGCUCUUUACUCAAUCAAAUUGAGUCAAUUAGCAAUUUAAUUGCUAAUAAAUCCUCUAUUAAUAGUAAAGUCCCAGUCCAGUGGGACUCUCCUCUAGAGUUCUAAUCUCAGUGGGACUUUUCAUCAGAGUCACAAUCCAAUUGGACUCUUGAGCUAUCAUAUUUGAUCAAAUCUUCUAAUGUGUAUAACCCCAUAGGUUCGAACCUAACCC
rnacentral:lncRNA from 1 species